AUCAUUAUGACUGUUUCGUUUAAUAAAUAGGCGUUGCCUCGUGUUGACAGAUUUAUUCGAUGACAAGAAUCGUGAUUGACAUUAAUUCAAUAGAUUGAUUUAAAAGCGUUAGAUUAUUAUGUUUAAGUCAGUUUUUCAGCAGAAUCAAAGUGAGAAAGAAGUUAUUUUGUUAUCGUUUUUCUGUCUCUAAAUCCGCUUACCUGGAGAAUUUGCUAACCCGUAAAGUGAGGCUGUUGUAACGACCCGCCACAGAAAUCGAAUAAUUAUUAAAGCUUGGCUUAAUAUUAUACGGUUUGUGGUGGUCAUUUGAUCUAACCAGUUCCGAGUAAGGAAACAAUGAC